rnacentral:rRNA from 1 species
UGGGGAAUAUUGCACAAUGGGCGCAAGCCUGAUGCAGCGACGCCGCGUGAGGGAUGACGGCCUUCGGGUUGUAAACCUCUUUCAGCAGGGAAGAAGCGUGAGUGACGGUACCUGCAGAAGAAGCACCGGCUAACUACGUG